rnacentral:rRNA from 1 species
AUGAAGCCCGCUUGCUGGGUGGAUUAGUGGCGAACGGGUGAGYWACACGUGAGUAACCUGCCCUUAACUCUGGGAUAAGCCUGGGAAACUGGGUCUAAUACCGGAUAGGAGCGUCCACCGCAUGGUGGGUGUUGGAAAGAUUUAUCGGUUUUGGAUGGACUCGCGGCCUAUCAGCUUGUUGGUGAGGUAAUGGCUCACCAAGGCGACGACAGGUAGCCGGCCUGAGAGGGUGACCGGCCACACUGGGACUGAGACACGGCCCAGACUCCUACGGGAGGCAGCAGUGGGGAAUAUUGCACAAUGGGCGCAAGCCUGAUGCAGCGACGCCGCGUGAGGGAUGACGGCCUUCGGGUUGUAAACCUCUUUCAGUAGGGAAGAAGCGAAAGUGACGGUACCUGCAGAAGAAGCACCGGCUAACUACGUGCCAGCAGCCGCGGUAAUACGUAGGGUGCGAGCGUUAUCCGGAAUUAUUGGGCGUAAAGAGCUCGUAGGCGGUUUGUCGCGUCUGUCGUGAAAGUCCGGGGCUUAACCCCGGAUCUGCGGUGGGUACGGGCAGACUAGAGUGCAGUAGGGGAGACUGGAAUUCCUGGUGUAGCGGUGGAAUGCGCAGAUAUCAGGAGGAACACCGAUGGCGAAGGCAGGUCUCUGGGCUGUAACUGACGCUGAGGAGCGAAAGCAUGGGGAGCGAACAGGAUUAGAUACCCUGGUAGUCCAUGCCGUAAACGUUGGGCACUAGGUGUGGGGACCAUUCCACGGUUUCCGCGCCGCAGCUAACGCAUUAAGAGCCCCGCCUGGGGAGUACGGCCGCCAGGUUAAAACUCAGAGGAAUUUGACGGGGGCCGGCACAAGCGGCGGGAACUUGCCGAAUUAAUUCGAUGCAACCCGAAGAAACCUUACCAAGGUUUUGACAUGUUCCCGAUCGCCCUUGAGAAACGGUUUCCCCUUUGG